rnacentral:rRNA from 1 species
CAACUUUCAACAACGGAUCUCUUGGCUCUCGCAUCGAUGAAGAACGCAGCGAAAUGCGAUAAGUAAUGUGAAUUGCAGAAUUCAGUGAAUCAUCGAAUCUUUGAACGCACCUUGCGCCCCUUGGUAUUCUGAGGGGCAUGCCUGUUUGAGUGUCAUGUAAUUCUCAAU